UACGGGGGGGGCAAGCGUUGUUCGGAAUUACUGGGCGUAAAGGGCUCGUAGGCGGCCAACUAAUCGGAUGUGAAAUCCCCAGGCUUAACCUGGGAACUGCAUCCGAUACUGGAUGGCUUGAAUUCGGGGAGAGGGAUGCAGAAUUCCAGGUGUAGCGGUGAAAUGCGUAGAUAUCUGGAGGAAUACCGGUGGCGAAGGCGGAUC
rnacentral:rRNA from 1 species